GUGCUCGCUUCGACAGCACAUAUAAAAUUGGAACUAUACAGAGAAGAUUCUCAUGGCCCCUGCACAAGAAUGACAUGCAAAUUCAUGAAGUGUUCUCUAGUUUU